GUGCUCCCUCAUCGCGAGCAUUCACGUGUAAUCUGACUUUACUGUCACGUAGCAUUAUUGUUACAAGUUGUAUUAACAUAUUACACAUUGUAUCAUUACAAGACGCGCAUUGUUAUGAUCAGUUCUCCUCCUUCACUGAUGUGAUGCUUGACUCUGUAACGUUACAUUA